CUCUCUCUUCUCUCUCUCUCUCUCUCUCUCGUGAGAUGGAGUCUCGCUCUUGUUGUUUAAGCUGGAGUGCAAUUGUGUGAUCUUGGCUCACUGCAACCUCUACCUCCCAGGUUCAAGCCAUUCUCCUGCCUCAGACUCCUGAGUAGCUGGGAUUACAGGCUCCUGCCAUCAUGCCCAGUGAAUUUUUUGUAUUAGCUGGGCUAAAAUAAAAAAAAUUUUUAGUAGAGGUGGGCUUUCAUCUCAAUCUCUUGACUUCAUGAUCCACCCGCCUCGGCCUCUCAAAGUGCUGGGGUUACAGGUGUAAGCCAUCGUGGCCAGCCAGGUAUCUCUUGUUUCUACUGUUCUUUCACAAACUGUAUCUGUUCUUACAGUUUCAACCAUCAUCUCUGCACCAUUUCUAGUGCUGGCCUCCCUGCCCACUCUAGCCUUGCAUUUCCUGGUGGCUAUGAAUCUUCCAUAGCUGCAUGGAUCACCAGCCCCUGAAACUCAAAUUGUGUGCAGUUAGACCCUUCAGAUCCUCCUCCCAGAAAUCAGGUCUUCCUCCCGACUCAUUUCUGCUCUUUAAGUUAUCCAAGCUUAAAACUUGACAGCAGUCACCUAUUCCUUUUUUUUUUUUUUUUGACUCAUCUUUAACUCAUGUCCAAGCUCUGUUGAGUAUUUCUUUGUGAUAUCUGACACCUAUACCUUCCCAGUCCUAUAACCACCAUCCUACUCAAGAGUUGUUAUUUCCUGUUAUAGAAACAACAGCCUCUUACCUGGUCUCCUCUUUCUGGUAGCUCUCCUGGGUCAGCCUAUUUUGGUAUAGUUUCUAAAAACUAUUCUGAUUAUAUAGGGUCAUGUAUAAGGUAAUAUUGAGCAUAGUCAAAAUUACCCUUAAAAAUCUCUUAAGGAAACCUGGGUAUGGUGGCUCAUGCCUGUAAUCCCAGCACUUGGGGAGGCUGGGGUGGGUGGAUCACUUGAGGUCAGGAUUUCAAGACCAGCCUGGCCAACAUGGUGAAACCCUGUCUCUACUAAAAAUACAAAAAUAUGCCAGGUGGUGGCACAUACCUGUAAUCCCGGCUACUUGGAAGGCUGAGGCAGAAGAAUCACUUGAACCUGGGAGGCAGAGGCUGCAGUGAGCUGAUAUUGUGCCAUUGCAUUCCAGCCUGGACAACAGAGUGAGACUCUAUCUCAAAAAAACAGAAAAUCUCUUAGGAAGAUGUUAUUGUUAUAGUAAAAUCUAACAAACUGUUUCCAGAAAUCCCACAACAACAAAACUCAUUUCUUAGCUGAGCACAGUGGCAUGCACCUGUAGUCCAAGCUGCUCAGGAGGCUAGGGUGGGAGGAUUGCUUCAGGCCAAGAGUUCCAGGCUGUAGUGCCCUGUAUUUGGACCUGUGAAUAGCCACUGUACUCUAGCAUGGACAACAUAGCAAGGCCCCAUCUCUAAGAAAAAACAAAAAGCCACAUUUCUUGUCUUCAGCAGGGGAAUAAAUUGUGCUUUCUUCUGUUAAGUACCAGCUAAUGAAAUUGACUUACAUUUAGAAGGCAUUUUUGGAAAAAAGAUGUAUUUUUAACACUCCCUCGAUGCAAGGCAAAUAAGAGUGGAAACUGACUAAGAGACUAACAGCAGAUUUGUAUGUCUUUGCCCAUGCUCAUUUCAGGCAUGAGCUUAUGGAAAGUUCUUCUGCUCCUCUCCUUUAAAAAACAAUUAUCAGGCCAGGCAUGGUGGCUUAUACCUGUAAUCCCAGCAUUUUAGGAGGCUGAGGCAGGUGAAUCACCUGUGGUCAGGAGUUCGAGGCCAGCCUGGCCAACAUAGUGAAACCCCGUCUGUACUAAAAAUACAAAAAUUAGCUAGAUGUGGUGUCAGGCACCUGUAAUCCCAGCUACUCAGGAGGCUGAGGCAGGAGAAUCGCUUGAAUCAGGGAGACAGAAGUUGCAGUGAGCCGAGAUUGGCCACUGCACUCUAGCAUGGGUGACAGAGCAAGACUUCGUCUCAAAAAACAAACAAAAAAUAAUCAUUAUUAUUAUGUUUGUUUUUGCUGAACGUAUAUAAUCCAAUGGGUGGAAUUAAGCCAGAUACAACAGCAUUUCUCUGGUGGGUCAGCUCUUUGGGUCGAAGGGUCCACACGUCCAUACCGAGGCCUUUCCCAGUGCCAGUCAGGGCUGGAUGGGCAGAGAAGGAAUCUGGGGCCUGUCCUCCUGAAUCCUCAAUUCAGCUGAAAGUCCAAGGUUUUAGAAGCUUCUCAAUUCAAUUCAGGACAUCCAGCUCUCUGUGAAGGUGUAUUUUUCAAGUCAAGAGGAUAUAAUAUAUAACUUUUUAACCAAGUUGUUACCUUAGUAACUUCUAGAUACUUAGACACAGGGUAUAGGACCAUUUGUUUGUAGUCUUGCUUUGGUCCUACACAGAAUACAUGGCAUGUUUUCCUGAAUUGGAGAGAUAAGCAGCAGUGGGGGCUUUCCCACAUGCCCGCACAGUGCAAAUGAUUUCAAAUUGUUGGGAAGGCCUGUAGCCAUUCUGUCUCUCUCCAAGUCUCCCAGGCUCCUGCCGUCUCCCUCUCCCAGGCAGUCUCAUACUAAACUACAAGUAAAUCCCAAAUACUUCUUGCUUUCUGAGUAGAGAAUUCAGAUGUCAGCAUGGCACCUGUUUUCUAGACCCUGCUACCUAAAGUGUGGAUCACAGGUGGAAAUGCAGCCUCUUAACUGCCUGUGAAGCUGCAUUUUCUAUUUUUUGAUCCCUAAGGAACAUAGUGGGGAAAUGCUGUCAGAGAAGCAGUGGAUGCUAUAGGAAAAUGUGAGACAGGGCAGGUGAAGAGAGGAGUAAAGACUGGGCCUUGAAGAAGAAUAAGAAAAUGGAAAAGAAAUGGUGAGAAAAGCCAAGUCAAAUUCAGGAUGACAAUGAACACCUAAAAGAAGAGUUUUCUCCAGGGGACCAGAACCACUAUAGCCUCCUGUCUCAUUCAGCAGAGUGGCUGAGGAGGGUGAGAACCAGAGGAAGACCCUACCUAGACUUGGCAACCAGGAGGCAGAGUGGAACAUGGAGCCAAGCAGCCCCAGAGAGGCAGAAGGAGAGAACACAGCCAAGCAGCCCUGGGCAGAGAGAAAGAACAAGCCUGGAGGUGGAGGGGUAGCUCUGGUCUCUUCCAAGACACAAAGACCUGAUCCUCCUAGAAUAGCUGAAUGCCACACCAUACCCCUCUGCAUCAGGCUGCAUUGUCCACUGCUGGCUUCUGUCCUGCUGGGCCAUGUCUCUGAACCUUCAGAGGUGCCCCCAGCUAAGCCACAGGAAGCCCCCAGAGGGCCUUCCUCCCUUCUCAGCCUUCCUGUCUAAGUAAGAACAUGAUCACAUUUGGAGGAAGAUAGGACAAACUCCAGGGCAAGGGGUAGGUGCCACCUGAGGGCCUGUCUGGUGCCAUCUCCUUUGCCUGAGGUGCUGAGACCACAAGAAUCCUGGGGCCAUAGCUGCUCUCAGGGAAAGCCUGGUCACUUCCAACCCAGCAUUCUUGGAACCCAGCCUCUUUUACUGUAGUCGCCUGAUGGGUUUGUCUUGCAGGAUGCACAGAUAAAGCCAAUUUACCAAGACAGCAGUAUUGUAAUAGAGAAAUAGUUGAAUAAAUGGAGCCAGCUAAGCACAAGACUGGGGUUUAUUACUCAAAUCAGUCUCCCCUGAAAUUGAGAGACUGUUUUUUAAAGAAUGAUUUGGUGGGCAGGGGACUAGGUAAUGGGUGCUACAACUUGACUGGGGAUGAAAUCACAGGGAAAGUGAUCUUCAUGCCCCUCCAGGUGGAGGCCACAGGACCCAGCGGGGUCAAUCAGUUGUCAGAAAUGCAAAAGUCAGAAAAACACCUUUAAAAAAAUCUUAGGUUCUACAGUAAUGAUGUUAUCUACAGGAGUAAUUGGGGACAUUACAAAUCUUUUGACCUCCAGAACAGUAGCUGGUUCCAAUUAACUCACUCAUGAUCCUAACCUUGUGGACUUUCAUUAGUCUCACAAAGGCAGUUUAGUUUUGGGGAGGGUUAUUAUCAUCCUUGCUUUAAGGUGAAACCAUGAACUAAAGUCCUUUCAAAGUUAGCUUAGUCUAUACCCAGGAAUAAACAAGAAAGGCUUGGAGGUUAGAAGCAAAAUAGAGUUAGCUAUGUUAGGUUUCUCUUACUGUCGUCAUUUUGCAAAGGUGGAUUCAUUGUCUCCAGGCACUCAUCUCUGCUCUCCACUCCCUCCCUGUUGCUUGGGCUGCCGGGUUCUCACCCUCCCACUCUCAGCCUCCCUUCCCACUAUUUCCCUGGACUGCUUGCUCCUUCUCCGCACAGAGCUUGCUUCAAAUCUAAAUAAAGAAACUUAACCUAAAUAAAAAAUUCCUGCAGUGGAAUUUGACAUAUGUCCCAUUUGACAUAUGUAGAAACUGAGGCAUAGAAGGCAGUUUGUUGGCAUCACACUCCAGGAACACUGGUGCUGGGGUUUGAAUUCCGGUGACUGGGCUCCACAGUUCCCCCCUCCCCGCCUCUGUGAAGAGACAAUUUCCUCCUCAGCCUGAGAUCUCCUCCACCAUAUUUAGGCACAAGUCUUCACAGCUGGGAAUCAUUUGCCCAGAGAAGGGAAGGUACAGAGGUACCCAGAAGAACAGAGGUCAGCUGCCCUUUUCAACAUGUUUCUAAACUCAGACACGGCAGUGAAGUGGCCAGCCAGGAUACUUUGGACUUAUAUGUGCUUGGCUCUGUGCCUGUAGGAGAAAGAGAGGUGGUUUCGCUUUGGGGUUUUUGAGUUUCACAGACUUAGCUGUGACCAUCGUGAAGCAAACAGGAGAGUCAGAAGAUAGCGUGGUGAGAUAAAGCCAGUUCUCCACCCCAAAAGGAGUGGAGCAAGGGAAGCAGACGAGGAAGCAACUGAGGCAGCAUCUGAUGCAACGUGGACCCUCCAGGUCCCUGCCACUCCACCUUCCCCACCCACAUGUCCUCUUCCGUGAGUGCCCUGUCCCAGUGGUUGGAGUGACCCCUGGCCCCAUGCUGUCUCUUCUCAGGGCUGGGAGACUCUGCUGCCUCUUUCUUACCACGCUUCCCCUAUCUGUGCACCAGGUGAACCUCCUUAUCCUUUACCCUUUGUUCCUUUCCUCCUGGAAGAAAGUGAUGCAUUUCCUCUGUGAAGCCCACUGUGCCCUCUGCUUAUUUCCAAUGUAGCCUUUAUCUGCCUUGUUAGAUAAUCAUCCUACCCAGGACAGAGACAACGUCUUUCUAUCCUUGGAGCCCCUGACACCUCGUGGACCCUCGUGUUGAAGUGAUGUGGAAGGAAGGGCUGGGAAGAGAAGGACGUGGUCCUUUUAAAUAGUAUGGAAGAGGGAAAGGGAAGUGCUGGGUAGAGGGGGCCCUCUGGUUACGGCUCCACCCCCAACCCGUGCCCACAGACCUAGGUGAAGACAGGGAUUUUUGUUCUCCUACACAAAUGUUGCUUUUCCCAAGACCACCCUGGCCUGCCAUGUCCCCUUCCUGUGCCUAUAAAAACCCCAAGACCCUAGCAGGCAAACACACAGGCAGCUGGAUGUCAAGAGCACAUUGAUAGGCACCACAGGCCCACAGGGCACCCACCAGCAGAAAGACUUGGAGUUUUAGCUCGGGUGGUCAGAGAGGAGUUGGCUGCUGAGCAGCUCGACUCCAGGGGAAAAUCUUCCCACUCAAUCCCCUUCUGGCUUCUCCCAUCUGCUGAGAGCUACUUCCACUCAAUAAAACCUUGAACUCAUUCUCCAAGUGCAGGUGUGAUCUGAUUCUUCUGGCACACCAAGGCAAGAACCCCAGGAUACAGAAAGCCCUCUGUCCUUGCAAUAAGACAGGGGUUCCAUUGAGCUGACUAACACAAGCCGCCUACUGACGGUGAAACUAAAAGAGCAUCCUGUAACACAUACCCACUGGGGCUUCAGCUAUACACAUUCACCCCUGGAUACUGCCGUGGGGUCAGAGCCCACCAGCCUGCCCAUCUGUGUGCUCCCCUCAAGGUUUGAGCAAUGAGCCACAUCCCAUUGCAUGCCCUGUGAGGGACAGGGGAACGUUUCCUGUUUCAGAGACACCUGCUAAUGCCUUUUUUUUUUUUUGAGUCUCACUCUGUCACCCAGGCUGGAGUGCAGUGGUGCCAUCUCUUCCUCCUGGUUCAAGCCAUUCUCCUGCCUCAGCCUCCUGAGUAACUGGGAUUACAGGUGCACACCACCAUGCCAGGCUAAUUUUUGUAUUUUUGAUAGAGACAGGGUUUCACCAUGUUGGCCAGGCUGGUCUCGAACUCCUGACCUAGUGAUCUGCCCGCCUCAGCCUCCCAAAGUGCUGGGAUUACAGGUGUGAACCACCGUGCUGGCCCCUACUAAAGCAUCUUAACUGUUGUGUAUAUACUGCUUAGAAUGAACAUAUUCUUUGGAGCAGGAGUAUGGGGAAUGUCUUGCAGCUUCCUAAGCCAUGAAGACAGACACCAUUCCUUCCUCAGACUGUGCUAUCCACCAGCCUCUUCUCCUUGAUGAACAGGGACACAACGCUAGAAGAAAAAGGGAGUUCUGCCACAGACCUGCUGUUUGUCUAUCCUUCCGAGAUUGGCUCCAGGUGUGUGUGGAUGCAUUUUGGCUCCAUGGUAAAUGGGUGUUGGAGGGAGAGGGUAGUGUGUUUAGAUUCCUGCUCUGCCACCUGUGAGUGGUGAGGCUUUGGGAAAGUACCUGACCUUGUAGAGAUUCUGCUUUCUUACUUGUAAAAUACAUUCUUCAUAGGGAUGCUGUGAGAACAAAUGACAGGUACCAUAAGGAUUCAGGGGUUGCCUAUUUCCUUCUUAGCACAGUCUAGUGAUUUUGUCUGUAUGCUUACUUUUCAUUCUCGGCCUCAUCUAUUAGAUGAUAAGCUUGAGAAGAGCUGGGUCUUAUGCUCAUUGUUGUUCCCUGGAGCCUAGUGCAGUGCCUGUCACAGAAUGAAUGAAUGAAUGAAUGAAUGAAUGAGUGUGCAUUGAGUAACGUACUGUGAUAGUACAUUAGUUUGAGAUUCCAGCCUCUGAAUUUUAUCUCAUCUGAGUUCUGUUCUCCCUGAACUUGAGUAAAUCACUUUUUCUCUGUCUCUAUUCUAGUUUCCCCAACCUUUAGGUGAAGUAAAUUUAACCUUUUUCUUCUUGAUAGGAGUAUUAUUAGGACCUACUCGCUAACAUGUCCAAAGUACUUAGGGCUUCUCAGAUGAAAGUUUCUAUUGAGCAGAUAUGAUUAACCUCAGGGAGUUCCUUGAUUUUCCCCCAAAUACAGGAUAUAUGGCAAGUGUGGUUUUUGCUUUUUCUGAGGCUAUCAGGAGACUGCAAUAGUGGAUCCCAUCUAGCAGUUGUUUAUUGAUAUAGGAAACUAACUAAUGUUUCUGAAAGGCAUCUUCCUUGAUCUGGUCUCUAUUUUAUGAUGUUUCAAAAGAGCUUACUCACAGCCCUCCAUGCUUCUGUUUGUUGGCAACAGGAGUGCCCUGUUGCUAGGAAGUUCACUUGGGCAUUCACCCUCCACAACGUAGGUGCCAGACCCAAAGGGAGAAAGGAAUGGGGACCACAUGCGGUAAGAAGGUUCUCUGGGGACCGCUUGCCAGUGGGUGGGCACACAGCCACCGGUGCCAUCACUGUGCCUCCUUGCAGCUGCUCAGGGGUUCCUGGAGCUGUGUGACCAUUGUCCUUAUGUGGCAGUCAGUACCCACGGUCGGCUUCCUGCUGUGGCCAUGGCAGCAACAGUAGCCACAGCAUAGAGGAGAGGGGAUGUGGUAAAGGCCGGUGACAUGGCACUUAAACCAGACCUUCAGACAUUGGUAGAACAUGGACAGGUGAGCCUGAGGAAGAGCAGCUUUCUAACCAAUGGCCUGGUGCAAACCAAAGCACAAAGUCGCAAUGAGGAUAGACUGCACCCAGGGCUUUGGUGAUGUGCUGUCACUGGUGACGGCUGAUGACGACCAGAAAGAACUGCUGUCUAAAGUGACAACAAAAACAGAAGACACCCAACCAGAGGGUCUGUGAACGAGGAGGAGGCCGGCAGACGGGGGGCAGGGUGAUUGAGCAGGGGAAUGCUGGCAGAGGGACACAUGGUGAUUAGGAGGGGGAGGCUGUCAGAGGGGGGGCAGAGUGAUUGAGCAGGGGAAUGCUGGCAGAGGGGCACAGGGUGAUUGAGGAGAGGGAGGCUGGUGGGGGGAUGAAGGGUAACUGAGGAGAGGGAGGCCAGCAGAGGGACACGGGGUGAUUGAGGAGAGGGAGGCCAGCAGAGGGACACAGGGUGAUUAGAGAGGGAGUAACCUGGAGUUGGGAAGGCCAGGCACACCAGAUGGACAAUUAGACCUGGAAUAAGCUGGCGGCAGUAGAAGAGGAAAGAAAAGGAUGACAUACUUUGAAGACCAUUGCAAACAUGACGUAACUUGUUCCUUGAGUAGACCUGCAGUGUGAAGCCAUGAGCUGAAUUACUAAUACAACAUGACAUUUGGGAGCCAGCUUGUAGGUGAGAUGCCCUCCUCCAUCCACCUCUCAUUCCUUUAAAAAGGAUUAGCUGAAGGCUUCCCUGAGGCUCUGGCCAGUGAUGUUCAUGACUUGAAGGUGGGAGCCAUCGCGAGGGAAGGCUGUCCUCCGUUACUACUCAUCUGGCAGAAACUUUACAGACAACACUUUUCCAGAUUUGUCUUCAUUCUUCAUAACAUCUUGGUAUUUUAAUAUAUUUCAGGUUAAUGGAAUUCAAGAACAUAAAUUAAAUUCAAGCAGGGAUAAUACAGAGAAAACACUAUGAUCCCCGUAAGUCAGUCUUUUUAAUUGCCUAAAGUUUUAACCAAGUCCCAGAGCUCUGGCUAAUGAUGAAAGAGAUAACAGAACAAACUCAUCUCUUGUGGAGCAGAUGGAGCUUGUGACUCUAGGACACUCCCGGAGGGAGCCAGGGAUGACCAUCUAUGGAUCUCAAAGUGGCAACAUUUGCAAACCAGGACCCAGGAGCCCAUUUAACAAAUGUCAGGGCAGCCUGAAGAGAGGAAUGGAAGGCAGAAACAUCUGGGAGUGUUUAGAAGUUGGAAACCGAUCAUUUAGAAGAAGACAGAGAAGAAUUCCCUUUACUUCUCAAUAAAUCAUCACCACAUUAUUUAAUA